AUGGAAGGUAGCCAUGAGCCCCUUGUGGCUGCUAGAACACAUGAAAUGUGGCUAGUAUGAUUGAGGAACUGAAUCUUUCCUUUCAUUUUAAUUAAUUUAAAUUUAAAUGGCCACAUGUGGCUAGUGGCUACCAUAUUGGACAGCACAGCUCUAGAUGCAUUUCAGUGUUAUUCCCAUGAGAUUCCCAAAUAAACUUCCUGCAUGCAAAUCUCCAUCUCAGCAUCUGUUUCCCUGAGGAGGAACCAACCUAAAAUGAAUUGCAAAUUAAAAUCUCAAAGUGAGUCAAAGCAACCAGAAUUUCCCUUCCCAAGAGGGGACCAGCCCCAUACCCAUGAGGAAAGGAUGCUACACAGAGAAGCCAAGAAGAGUCUGCAUGGAUAGGCCUUACUGGCUUCCUCACCUGAGUGUAUCACCAUUAAUUAGAUGAUACCUCUUUGUCCAAUCACAUUUCUACAUGGCUGUCCCCAGUUUAAGGACAAAAACAGACAGUCUCCCCUUGAGUCUUUGAGUCUUCAUUUUUGAAGGCUUCCAUGUCACAAAAAAAUCUUUGAUUAAAUAAAUUGAUGUUUUUCUCUUGUAA
rnacentral:lncRNA from 10 species